GUGACAGAGAAGUAUAUGUACAAUGUAACUGAUACUGACUCCCUGAAGCAUCCUGUGCGGAAUUUGCAGUCAUCGACAUUUGGUGAUAAUGAUUUUGAAAUAGAAUGAUUGGAUGCAACUGCUACAAAGGUUAAGUUGCACAAUGAAAAAUAUUUAGUGGACCACUCAACAAUCACCGACACAAAUGAAUCAUCUUCUGAGCCAUGCAAACUGGGAUUGAGCAGUUUAGCCAAAAAACUCAAACGGUCAUUUCUGGCCAAGCAGCUAGGACACAUCCAAUAUCGCCGAUUGUGUUGCCCACUUCGUGUUCAACUUAUUCAUCCUUACUCACUACCCAGGCAUCAGUUCGGAGCGAGUACCUGCCAAGUCGUACACUCGAGUAUGAAUUCGAAGCUGAACAACAUUUAAGUGAGGAAAAGUUUCGAUAUGUUAGCUUCAACAAAAAGCUCAUGAAAGUGCAUUCAAUGCGUUACUUAGGUAUUUUAGAAAAUAGCUUGUAUGUGUUGGAUAUUUUUGGUUUAAGUGACUCGCGGAUUUCUCAAAUUUUCAGUGAUGGUGUUCCAAAAAUAGCUCGAGAAAUGGAAGAGCUUGUGUUUUAGCCUAAAUCAGAAGAUAUUAAAAAAAUUACCGGUGGCAUUCCUUCGUAAAUACAGCAGCGUUCAUAGCAUUACUGAUUGUUUUGAAAUCCAGGUGCAAAAAUCUUCAAACCCGAUAGUUCAAUCGGUUCCGUAUUCUCAGUACAAGUCGUGUAACACAAUCAAAUAUCUUGUUUCGUGUACACCAUGUGGAUUGGUAAACUUUAUCUCGAAAGGAUUCCAUGGGCAAGCGAGUGAUCAGAAAAUCGUAAACAAAUCAGAAUAUUUGAGACAUUCGAAAGGGUAUGAAAGUGU